rnacentral:tRNA from 1 species
GUUAGCAUAGUUUAAUAAAACAUUAGGUUGUGGUCCUAAAAAUAGAAGUUUGACCCUUCUUGCUUA